UCCGAUAAAAUCUGUAAUAAUUCAUCGAAUCGACAAAAAUCGAUGGACAUCCCUGAAACUCGAAUGUCAAAUUUUUCCAUUUUGGCGUUUGUUUUGUUCCACAUUUGUGAUCGGCAUUUCUGUUGGAGAAAAUUCGAUUGCCGGACUCCGCAAAGUGACUACAAAUUGAUAAGGUCAACUGAUUGUGUGAAGAAAACGGAGAAUCCUGCUCGACCGGCGACGAUCAUUCGGGCCUGUUGCCACAUCGGGAAUCGUGGGACCGUAUGCUCAAAAUGCGGACAUUACUUGGCAGCAAACGCAAAAUUUCUACGGACCCGUGAAAGACUACAAUCCCCUUCCGAGCUGGGCCUUCGGAACGGCCGAGGAUGUGGUCCCCCGUGCCAGCAUCUCCGCCCCGCUGGUGCACUAGUUCGACCGCCUGCUCCAGCUGGUCGAACAAACCCUGGCCAAGGGCAUCGACCACCUUGACGUGGGUACACCGAUCAUCAAGGAACAACCACAGGAGAUCUACAACCAUUCAAAGUCCAAGGUCCUCGGCACGAUCGAAAGCUACACCGAGAAGGUAUGCGAACUACAACAGGCCUCCCAGCUGAAGGCCACCUCCCUGAAAGAGCCCUCCUGGAAGAAAGCCAACGAAGUACGGGCCUCCCACCGCUCAGCUGGCCGAGCGUCUACUGGACUACUACUACGCAAAGUGCGAAGGCGACGAUGAAGAUGAUAAUUCACACCGUAGGACGCCUCUCCAACAAAGUUGCCCGCCGCGACUACCGCACCGUGUCCAAGCAGGUGAAAUCCCUCCACAAGGAAGAUGUCAAGGAGUACGUCGUUACGUUGAUUGCCGUCCUCCGCCUGACCCAGUACCUCAGCUUCCUGAACGACAAACGCAACAGCAGGCCGUGGAAGAUCAGUUCCCGCCCCCGCUUAGCUAUAGUUAUAACUGAAUGGAUGUGCCAUCGAAAAAAUAUAGCUUUCAAACAAGAGUCUCAAGCAUA